rnacentral:rRNA from 1 species
GACGAACGCUGGCGGCGUGCUUAACACAUGCAAGUCGAGCGGUAAGGCCCUUCGGGGUACACGAGCGGCGAACGGGUGAGUAACACGUGAGCAAUCUGCCCUUCUCUUUGGAAUAACCAUUGGAAAAGAUGGCUAAUGACGAAUAUGAGGCCCUUUCGCAUGUUGGGGGUUGGAAAGCUCCGGCGGGGAUGGAUGAGCUCGCGGCCUAUCAGCUUGGUGGGGCGGUAAUGGCUCACCGAGGCAUUGACGGGUAGCCGGCCUGGGAGGGUGACCGGCCACACGGGGACUGAGACACGGCCCAGACUCCUACGGGAGGCAGCAGUGGGGAAUAUUGGACAAUGGGCGAAAGCCUGAUCCAGCAACGCCGCGUGAGGGAUGACGGCCUUCGGGUUGUAAACCUCGUUCAUCAGGGACGAAGCGAAAGUGACGGUACCUGCAGAAGAAGGACCGGCCAACUACGUGCCAGCCGCCGCCGUAAGAC